ACAGACACAUUUGUGCAGCACUUUAUUAGGAAUCCUGGUGAGCCAUGGGAUUGGAGCUGCCUUAGACUUGGGAAGAAGUCCCUGUUUUAGAAGCUUUCAGCACAGUACUGAAGUUCCCCUCAGAUCCAGGCUGGCAGUAGCAGCUUCCCAUCCAUCCUGGGAAAGUGGGCAGGGAGCUCCCUGAAGACCCUCUGGGCUGGGCACAGCUUUUUCCUGUGCAGAGAGGCUCCAGCAGCAGUGGGCAGUGAGUGCUGGGCUUAAUCCAUGGCAGCAGAUAAAUCCACAAUCCCUGCUGGGCUCUUUCCAGCACUGAAUUCCAGCUAAGGGAGAGGAGAGGAGCCCCUUCCAGGCCAGCAGCUGCUCUGUGCCAGUGCCUGUGACCUGGGCUGGAUCCUGAUUGCCCAGCUCUGGAGUCCCUGAAGUGCUGGAUGUGGAAAAGAGCCCAGAGCAGGGAUCAACCCCUGGUGUCACCCGGUGGUUUUGGGCAGGGCACAGCCAUUGGCAGUGGGUGUGUUUGGGGAGAGGAGCCCUGGGAAAGGCAGCCCAGAGGAUGAGGCCUGGGGAGAGCUGUGAGCUGAGAAGUGGCUCUAAUCAAGUUUAAGUGGUCCUAAACUCCUGCAAUGGUCUGGGUUGGGAAGGAAGCUUAUGGAUCAUCCUGUUCCCACCCCCGCCAUGGUCAGGGACACCCUCUGGGCUGUCCAUGGGAUUUGCUCAGUGCCAGGCUGGUGACAGGGGUGGGGCUUUGUCCCUGAGCCCAGUCCCAGGCAAGGUUGGGGUCUCCAUGGGCAGAAUCCUGGGAGCUGCAUUUCCAGGGCUGGGAGCUCCGUGCCUGGAAAUGUUUCCAGUCCUGCUGUUUGGUUUUUUCCCAAACUGGGCAUUACAUUCCUUCCCUGAGCGAGGUGGUUUUCCCUGGGUUGUUGGGAUUGCACAUUGGGUGUUUGAGAGCUCUGUUGUCUCUUUCUCCUGAGGGGAAGGGUGAGGAAAUGGGGAUGCUCCCGACUGUCCCAGAGAUGUGGGAACAGCCCAGUUCCAGUGAGGAAUGUGGUGCCCAGCUCGUGGGGUGCACCCUGAGAUGAUCUUUCCUGUUGUUUAUUGUUGGAGUCUAGAACAUCCCUCUGGCCACCCUGGAGGGUUUGGAGACCGGACAGGGGAGUCUGGGAUCUGUACAGGGGGGUCAGUUAGACCCACACAGGUCCCAGGAGGACACUGCCUCUGAUCCCUGUCCAUGGGAGUGAACACUCACAUGCAGGAAGAAUCACAAAUCCUAAGAAUUUGAAAUAAGUAGUGGAUGGUUUAUUAUAGAAUAUAAAUAUAGAAAUUAGGAUUCUUAGCAUAUGGGGCUGAAGAGACAAGAUGGAGGAAUUGGGGAGUGGCCCCUGUCUUCCUUGUUCUUGUUCUCGUCCCCCAUCUUGUGCUGAGUUGGGUUUUAGAGAUUGGUUUAGAGUAGAACUGACAUGUUAGUAUAGGUAAUAGGUAUUGGUAAAAUUUUGUAAAUAAAAAAUACGUCUCGGACAGUGGUUGGGUCAGGGGUACUGUACAUAAGGUACGGGGCUCUCUGAUCCGCCCAGUCUGCCGCGUGUCCUGCUCUGUGGAGACACCUUGCAGAGCUGAGAAAGAACUAAGAUAAGGGACCCUGCCAGGGAAGUGCCUGGCAGAGUUGAAAAAGGACUGAGAUAAUGAAGAAUAAACAACCUUGGAAACGUGCACUGGCGGACUCAGCUUGUUGUCUCUGGCUCCAGUGUGAAACACUUAGGGCAAAGAGAAGACUGAAAACCUUAUUACCCCUGGGAACAGCAACCCAGUGGGAACUCCCAGGGAACAGCAACCUUGGGGGAACCCUUAGUACCAUGGGGAACACCAACCCCAAGGAGAAUCUCAGGAAAACUACAACCCUGAGAGUUUAUUCCUUAGAGCCUGUUGGAGUGCUGGCCUGGAUCUGGGAGGAGCCAAGUAUGCUGGAGCUGUGAGGUUUUUCCUGUCAGCAAUCCCUGAUGGGGAUGUUUUCCCUGGCUGUUCCAAGGGGAAGGAGCAGCUCUGGAGUUGUUGCAGCCACAGGAUGCAGUGGGUGCACGCCCUGAGAACCAGUUCAGGAUUGUUCUUCUGAGUCUGCCGCUGACCUGUGACUUCCAGGGCCCCUCCUGAUGUCCUGGAUAUUCCCAGGAGAGGAUAUUCCAAGGCUUGCCUUUUGAGCCAGCAAUUCCAGAGGCAAGGAAACCUAGUGGAAGGAUCAAGAUGCAGAGGAACAAGUGUUGUAAACCCCCCUGGAUUUCUGACAGAGCCAAUCUUCCAAUAAUCCCAGCAGAGGUCUCUGAGAAAGUGUGGCAUCCUAAGGAUUUCCAGGAGAGAAGAAGAGAUGAGGGAAUGGGCUUCCAGGGGGAGGAGGCAGCCGUGCCCAGGAGGAAGAGGAGGAGGAGUGGGAGGAUGGAGACAGCGGCCACCAAAGGCUGGGGAGGCACAGCUCCAGCCCUUUGCUUUCCCCAGCUGGUGCUUUAGGAAAGGCCCUCCAGCCUGGGAAGGAGCUUUUGGCUCCAGACACAUUCUCAGUCCCCAGGAGCAGCAGGACCUGGGCUGUCCCCAGCAGG